CCCGCAACUGCCGAAUUCAGACUCAUCAAACAAGGCGUCCAAGAUGUUGCCACUCGUCUUCUAAGCGACGCUACUCCCUUCGAUAAUUGUUCUCGAUCGCUCCCCUUACAAUUUUACUGGUGUCAGGCAAGAUUUCACAGAUUAGGGUUCAAGCAAGAAGAUUGAAAUCUCUAAUCGGAGGAUGGGUGUCAUAAUCAAGUACCUUGAGUUACAACCUGGUGCUAAAAUCCAAGUCAAUCGUGAUGCAUAUAGAUGAUUUUAGUGGCUCUGUUUCUGGUGUAUAAUCGGCCAACAUGAAAGGCAUCUUCUUGACAAGCUUGGAGCCGGGUAAUUCCUUUUGCACCAAUUCUCUAUGAUUGUAAAUUCAAUUCUUCAGAGGUUUGGGAUGUGUGAAUAGAUGCACAAUCUAGCCUUUUCUUGUUAAGGAGACUGACAAGCUUAUUCGAUUGGAGGCAACUAUGAGAAUCAUUUUUCUGUUUUGUUGAGGUUCUUUAAGUUUUUAAUGAAUUUCAAAGGAACAAUUUGUCAAAGGGAGCUUGAUUAUAGUUUUUUUUACCACUUUAAGAAUGAGAAAUAACAAUUUAAAGCUUGAGAAGGCGCAUACAUUUGGGAUUGUUGUAAAGCAUUGGCUCUUGGAUCAUCCGGUGUACUUGUAGCUCUUGGAUCAUCCGGUGUACUUGUAAGUUUUGAUCCAAACAGGUUGAUGAAUUGGUAACCAUCGCCAGGUUCUCUUAAUACUUCAGUUAUGGUUAUUGUUUAAUGUUCACCUAAGAUGUGCAUAAUGUCAAUUUGUGUGCCAUUGUAAAAUUUUCCUUCCUUUUGGCUAAGUUGAGUUUCCAACUUGUAUUCUUUUAUUUUCAAUAGGUUCUAGAUGUUUCUGGUCCCUGAGCAAACCAAUUUUCUAAGUCCAGACUAUUGAAGAUGGAAGAGGAAUGAAGAUUAGAGACUUUUUUCUUUUUCUUGACAGAACAAAUUUGUAAAUUUAGUGGAUAUCAUUUUAUGUCUUUAAAUACAUUAUAUUACUCUUAGCUUGAUAUUUAUAACUAUAUGUAAUUUGACAUACUUGUAAGACUAGUUAGUUCUUAAAUAUAAUUUAAAGUUUUCUUUUAUUU